rnacentral:rRNA from 1 species
CCUACGGGCUGCAGCAGUGAGGAAUAUUGGUCAAUGGACGCAAGUCUGAACCAGCCAUGCCGCGUGCAGGAAGACGGCUCUAUGAGUUGUAAACUGCUUUUGUACGAGGGUAAACGCAGAUACUCGGAUCUGUCGGAAAGUAUCGUACGAAUAAGGAUCGGCUAACUCCGUGCCAGCAGCCGCGGUAAUACGGAGGAUUCAAGCGUUAUCCGGAUUUAUUGGGUUUAAAGGGUGCGUAGGCGGUCGGAUAAGUAAGGGGUGAAUGCCCGAGGUCAACAUGGGGAAUUGCCUUUGAUACUGUUCGGCUAGAGAGUAGUUGCGGUAGGCGGAAUGUAUGGUGUAGCGGUGAAAUGCUUAGAGAUCAUACAGAACACCGAUUGCGAAGGCAGCUUACCAAGCUACUUCUGACGUUGAGGCACGAAAGCGUGGGGAGCAAACAGGAUUAGAUACCCGUGUAGUC